ACUAGACAGUGGUGUCUAUUCAAUAUAAUAUGGCAUCGAAAGCGCAAGAAACAAAAGAAAACAUAGAUUAAUUGAGCUUCAUCCAAAUUAACAACUUUUGUGCUUCAAAGGACACCAUUGAGAAGUGAAAAGAAAAACCACAGAAUGACAAAGUAUUUACAAAUCAUAUAUCUGUUAAGGUACUAGUAUCCAGAAUAAAGAACUAUUACAACUCAAUAAUAAAAAGACAACCAAUUUAAAUAUGGG
rnacentral:lncRNA from 1 species